GACGAACGCUGGCGGCAUGCCUAAUACAUGCAAGUCGAGCGAACAGAUGAAGUGCUUGCACUUCUGACGUUAGCAGCGAACGGGAGAGUAACACGUAAGGAGUCUACCUAUAAGCGGGGGAUAACAUUCGGAAAUGGGUGCUAAUACCGCAUAAUAUCUUCUUCCGCAUGGAAGAAGAUUGAAAGACGGCUCUGCUGUCACUAAUAGAUGACCUUGCGGUGCAUUAGUUCGUUGGUGGGGUAAUAGCCUACCAAGGCGAUGAUGGAUAGGCGACCUGAGAGGGUGAGCGGCCAGAUUGGGACUGAGACACGGCCCAAACACCUACGGGAGGCAGCAGUAGGGAAUCUUCCGCAAUGGGCGAAAGCCUGACGGAGCAAUGCCGCGUGAGUGAAGAAGGCCUUCGGGUCGUAAAACUCUGUUAUAAGAGAAGAACAAAUUGUAGAUUAUCUGCUACAGUCUUGACGGUAUCUUAUCAGAAAGCCACGGCUAACUACGUGCCAGCAGCCGCCGUAA
rnacentral:rRNA from 1 species